rnacentral:RNase_P_RNA from 1 species
UGAGGUGGACGGGCGACCGCCUUAGUUGAUUUUUGCAGCUACGGAGGAAAGUCCGAGCUCUCUCGGAAGGAUGCCCGCUAACGGCGGGGCGGGGUGACCCGACGGACAGUGCCACAGAAACAUACCGCCCCGAUGAGCGGACGAAUCGGGGUAAGGGUGAAAAGGCGAGGUAAGAGCUCACCGCGCCUGCGGCGACGCAGGUGGCAGGGUAAACCUCAUCCGGAGCAAGGCCAAAUAGGGGGAGAGAGGUGGUCCGCCUCGCUAUCAUUCCCGGGUAGGCCGCACCGAGGCGGCGGGUAACCGCCGCCCCAGAUGAAUGCCCGCACAGCGCGUUUACAACACGCGUGGACAGAACUCGGCUUAUAGAC